rnacentral:lncRNA from 1 species
UUUGACAUGAAUAAUAUUUCUGCUUUUGUUCUCACAACAUCAAGACAACUGAAAUAUUCUAGAACAGGGGUCAGCAUGUUCAAGGAAAUAUAUGCUUUGAGGUUUGCUCACUGGUCUCCUUUUUUGUCUUCCUCGGAUUGUGGCCACUGCUGCCGUCCAACUAGGCUGCGCAACCAGGGUUAUGUUGCUUACAUCUGGAGUAGCUGAACCUUGUCCUCUUUCGCUUUUCUGGCUCAACUGCUGGGCACCCGGCAGGCAUGCUCUUAGAUCCCCUUGUGAGCCCUGGCCGACGCCUGACAAUGCUGGUUGGCUGCACUCGUAUCUGACGAGCCCGGCGACGUCUUGCUGCACCGGUAGCCUU